rnacentral:rRNA from 1 species
UUCCUUUUUGUAUUACGGUCUUUAGAAAAUAAAAUUUAUAAAUUUUUGUUCAAAAAGAGUUUAAUUUAAAUUUGUCAAAAUAUUAUUUUGAAAAAUAAGUGAUUGAUUUUUUUUAGAAAAUAAAAAAUAAAUAUAGGCAAAUUUAGGUGUGAUAUUCUUUCGUUUCUCUUUAUUUAAUUAAAUAAAUUUUAUGUUUAAGCAUAAAAAUAUAAAUAAGGUUAUUAAUUUAAAUAAUAAAAAAUAAUAUUUUAUAAUGAUAAUUUGUUUAUUAUUAUUUAAAAAUUUUUAAAAAAAAAUAACUUUUUAAUUUAUUUUUAUAUAUAAAAAUUAUGGUAUGAUUGUGAAAUAAAUUUUAUAUAACUCAAUUUUUAUACAACUGUUUAUUAAAAACAUUUCUUUUUUAUUAAAAAGUAAAACCUGCUCAAUGAUUUUAAAUAAUUAAAUAGCUGCAGUAUUCUAACUGUACAAAGGUAGCGAAAUCACAUGCCUGAUAAUUGCGGGAUUGUGUGAAAGGUUUAUUAUGAUAUAAAUAAUGUUUUAUAAAAUUUUUAACUAAAAAUUUAAUGAACAGUAUAGAUUCUGUUUGAAAAAUUAAGACGAAAAGACCCUACAGAGUUUUUAUUUAAUUUAUAAUAAUUUAUAUAUUAAAUUUUAGGUGGGGAAUCUAGUUUUAAAACAAAAUAUUAUUUAAAAAAUAAAACUUCCUUAGGGAUAACAGGGUAAUAAAAUUUUAAAGUUCCUAUUGAAAAUUUUGUUUACUACCUCGAUGUUGAAUUAUAAUAAAAAUUAAAUGUAGAAAUUUAUGAUUUUAGUCUGUUCGACUAUUAAAAUUAUUCAUGAUUUGAGUUUAGACCGAUGUAAAUCAGGUUAGUUUUAAUCUAAUAAUGAAAAAGUUGUACGAAAGGAAUCUUUUUUCUUAA